CCAGGAGCCACGAUGUCAAGUACCAAGGAGCGUAUGCAGUGAACGCAGAUACACAUUUUGAAAGGGCGGAAGAAAAUGUUGACGCCCCCACGAAUGUGGCUGAAGUGUUUUCACAUACAAGGGAGAAUGCUGCAGAACAAGAGCACAAAGAACAUGUGGGGAACCCAGAGCAGUGUGGUCCCUGUGGCAGCAGACCGGUCACCGUGGCGAGUGUGGUAAAAAAGGCCCUUGUAUGGAGAAGUGAUGCCGAGCCUCAUUCCACUGGCCUUACAAAAGGCUAUUUCAGGGCAUAUUGAACUCUCCCACGCAAGCACAACAAUCUUGGGUAAUACGAGUGUGGAAAGAGGGCUGGACAACCAAAAGUGUGGAAUCCUGGGAAAAGCAGAGGUGUUCCUUUAGAUCACAACAUCCCACAACAGAGCAGAAACAAAGAUAAGUUAUCUUAUCACUGUGGGACACUGCGUGCAUGUGUCCAUUGGUGCUGGUUGUGCUAUUGUCACACAUUGAGACAACAUCAGAAGUGUGCCUACGGUCUCUUUAAACCACAGAAGCCCACUACACUUGAAGCUGAAGAGCUUACCCACAACGGCUGAAUGAUAUAGAGAUCAUACAAUUAUGAAGCAGCCAUAAAGGAGACAAUACAGAUCAUCGACCUGAAUGCUGCGCUGCAAUUGGCCCUGACGUCUGUCCAUAGGGGGUCUCCGCUGCUGAUUGGCCAUGACCGGUUUUGUAGAGGGGCUUCUAAUCCUCUCCACACUCUCUGUGGGUGCUCUCGGGGGCUUUUCCCACAUAAAUCAGUCUGGCCUGGGUGGUAAAGUCAUCACGUCCACUGUGUCCACAAACACUGCCUGUUAGCACCCCUAUCACAAGGAGCGUGCUAGCUCUGAAAGGCCACCGCCAUUGAAAGAAAGCCAAUGGCUGACCACGCCACACUAUGCGUAUAGGCUCUUAUUGGGAAGCCCACUUUAGCACGUUAUCCAACCCAGUCUCACAGAAAAACGUGUAAUAGCUACGUUGUGGAACGUGGUGUUGUCACGCUUUUGGGGAGAAAGCGUGACAUACAACGUUUCGUUUGUAACUAGGUCACGUGACUAUCAACUUUCCCUCAGCUCAAAAAAAAGAAAAUGGCGGACUGUCGGUCUACUAUCUGUGAAAAACACAAUAUUUUAAGAAAGCAUCAGCAUUUGUGUGCAUUUCGAUGGCAUUUCUAGCGAGAAGUAUGCGUUAUAUUUUUAUAAUCAGAGAAUGUAGAAGACCUUCCGUUUAUUAGUUUGUAGUGAGGUAGUUGCAAGGCUAUUGUAAAUGAACGGGCCAAAAUAAAACAUAGUAUUGUCACGAUUUGGGGGAGAAAGCGUGAGAAUACCACGUUGGUCCAACGUAGCUAUUACACGUUUUGCUGUGAGACUGGGUUGCGUUAUCAUAAAAAAAAAAACAUUGCCCCUGUUGUAAAGCUACCAUGAGCCUUUCAUGUCAACAUUAUCACAUGAGAGGCCUUCAAGCAGCACGCCACUUUGAGGAAAAUGUCACAUGAGCCUUACAAGCUUUUCCUAUGUAAUCUUAAUUAAUGCCCCAUUCAUAUUCUUGACUACUCACAAUAGCACGGGCACAGUUUAAAACCUCUGUUUCAUUAUUUAAUUCAUUUAAAAUUACUUGGUUACGUUAUAUCAACAAAACUACUUGAUAAGUUUAGGAAAUGAUCACGUUAUUAUGGUUACCUCUCAAGCCCUGUGUAGUUUUAAAGUGUGAAGAUUGACCAAGUGUCUAUGACGUGAGGCACUGGUAACACCCAUUUUUUGGUUCGGGUUAUACGACCUGACCAAUGGCCUUCCCUGGACCUAACCACUCAAGGUCAACGCCCGACCUCAAACAGCCACGCAGCUACAAGACUGCUCACGAGUAUGCAGACUUCUAUAUUUUAUUACAGAGGUAGUAUUUUAUGUGCGUCACACUGACCCCUGCAGUGUAUGGACAGACGUCCCUGCUGUGUGAGUGAAAAGCAGGGCCGGGUCAAGAAGGACACUGAUAGGAAGAGUCGUCUGUACCAUUUUGCCUCUCACCCAUGGGUGGUCUUCCCUUAAACGGCUUUGGUCGGCUUUCCCUCUUGACACUGCAAACGUAUAGUAUCAUUCACAUGCAGUUCUAGAUAAAAGCCCUUUUGUUGGGUAUGUGCUUCACAAUGGUGCUUGUUAUCCCAAGGUAUCGCAUGCUCAAUGGAAGGAAUUACAGAGUACUUUGUACAGCUGGGUAUACAAAAGCAGAAAGAUGGUGCUAAAAAGGAAAGUUCUAAAAUAAAUGUUUACACUAAGAUGUCCUGAUUACCACGUUCUUACGAUCACUUUGGUGUAAUUUUAACUACAGACACAUCGUACAACCACACACACACAUGUGGCAGCACACUGCAGAUAUUUUGCAAAAUAAAACACUUCAUUCAAAACUUUUCAAAAAUUGAUGGAAACCCAUUUUUGUCACUUUAUUGCACGCACAGGGUUUAUUUGGUCAAACUCUCUUUAAACCAGUUCCACAUUCCUGUGCUCAGUCUAAAACACGUUAACCAUUUAUAACUCACUAAUUAUACAGUCUAGGUUUUAUUCUACGACAAUAUUGUGAGUGUGUAGUACACACAAACCAGGCAAGCACCCAGAAGUCCAAAAGUCCAUUUUUCACUGAAAUUCGCAACAAUGUCUCUUGUCAAAACAAUAUAGUACAUAAGAAGUAAAAAUAUUAAUGGAGACAAAAAGAAAGAACGAUUAUGGUUCAAAUAAAUUGCUAACACUGCUUGGUUGGCUCCCACCUGUGGUCUUUUUACAGUGUUUACAUCCUGAUUCAGUAGGGUUCUGCUUUAUGUUUCCUUUUAGUGGGUUGGCUAUAAGCUAUAAGCAAUGCUCACAACUGUUCAAAGAGAGACACAGAGUUAUAAAUCCUGAGCUGUCGGAUCCACGUUUGCUUGAGAUUCCCACCUCGGAGUCCUGCGCAAGAACUUUGUCGCCAAGGCUUCCACUCUCACACUUUCCCUCUAGAACAAACAAACAAGGACUAAUUUCCUCUGUUUGUGUGUAUGUGUGCGUGUGACUGGGACGAGGGGGGGUAGGGGGAGAGCGAUAACGAGAAGGGAAGAUGAUUAGGAAUUCCUUAAAAUUUCAAUUUACAGACAACUGCACGAUAAAUGUCGCACAAAGGAACCAGAGGCCGUCCUUCUACUGAUCUUCGCAGGAGACGUAGUCCACUGUUCCUUUAUUUCUGAAACAAUCAAGGAAAGGUCAUGUAUCCAGAGGGAAGGGCUGGAGCAGCCACCUCCACUAAUGAGAUCAGAGAGAAAGAAGAAAAAACAGCAAUUUUCCCAAUGGCUCUUCAUUUUCCAGGGAGUCAAGCGGCACAGAUUGUAAUCCUUUCGAACAAAGCUUUUCAGCUUUUGUGGAGAACACUGGAACUCGAUCUUUCAACAUCGCUCUUUCAAGGUUUUGAUGCAGCAAAUUUAGGGUUUGAGAUUUCAUUACUGAGAGAAUUAAGCGCAGAUGAAAUACCUGGACAUUAAAAUGAUCAUCAAAAUAAUUACAUUUCUUGAUGUAUUUUUUUGGGGUUGCUGUUUCUUCGCAUGCUCUGUGAAAAUUAUUACGCAAUCAUGAUUAAUACAUUCUUUGGCAGUUUUAUUACAACACUGAGACUGGUAACAGACUCAACUUGUGAUCGUUUUGUUGUGAAAACCAUGUACAAGUCAACUGGUUUUUCAUGAAAUGAUGAAGGUCUUCAGGUUUACAAGACGUAACGUAAUUUGCAUUUGUAGACUUUCGAUAGACUGUCAUUCCCAGAGCACACUGAAAAAUCUUCUUUUGGGACCUUUUCCAACUGGAAGCCAAAAUACCGGCAACGCAUGCCAGAAUAAGCCGCCAGUGCACAUCUCCAGAGGGUGAAAGAGUUAUUUCACAACCAGAUGAAAACACAGAAUACAGCUUAUUGCACCAACUUGCAAUAUACAUAAACCAUAGUAAAUCUUUCUCCUUGCCUCUAUAGUUUUCACUUUCGUCAGGAGGCGCAGUCGGAAAAGCAGGCAUAAUCUUGAAUACGAGCAUGCAUUCAGAUUGCAUAGUUGACUGAGUUGCAAUAUAAUCCCAAGUCUGAAGAACACAGGACAAAAAC
ensembl:lncRNA